AGCCUCAACCACAAGAAGAUUAGCAUAUACUUUACUUGCAGCGCAGGUUCUCUGUCUGGUUGUUGAUUGCUUUACAAACAAGUUAGCAUCCCCCACUCAGCAAGCCAAGCAUAUGCUUGACUUUCAGGUUCUGUGUCUUGUUGUUGAUGGCUUCAGCAAGACUAGCAUACCCCAUUCGCCUCGGACCACGCCAUGACACUGCGUUGAUGUUUUAGAUUUCGAAGCUCACAAGGAGGACACCACAAGUCCAAAUCAGGCCGGCUCUACAUCGACAAGUCACAGGUUCUCUGUCUUGUUCUUGAUGGCUUCAACAAGGCUAGCAUACCCCACUCAGCACGCCAUGGCACUGCUUUGAUGUUUUAGCUCUUGAAGCGCGCAAGGAGACCACCACAAUUCCAAAUCUGGGCGGCUCUACAUCUAAAGGUCACAGGUUCUCUGGCUGCAACAACAAGACUAGUAUUACCCACUCACCAAGCCAUGACAAAUGAGACAAGCAGGUUCCUAUAGGUCCAAAUCUAGCUGGAUCUACGCCAAUUACAAAUCCAGCUUUCCUGGCCAGGUUGUUCUCUAGUUUUGCUGGGUAAAAGGAACAAGGAGGAAGAUCAGAUCCAGCUACUUGUCAUCAGCAACAAGCUUGCACACUCUUUGAUCAUGACAAUGACUCCAUGAUAGUUCAAAAUCUCUAUGAUCAAGCUACAAUGACAACAAGACCAGCUGAGCCAUGAUGUCUCUUCUUUUUCUUUUUACGAGAAGAUUGUUCUGGUGGUUUCAGAUUCAAAAGUGCACAAGGAGGCUACCAAGAUCGAUCAGAUCUAAGCCAUUACAAGGCAGGUGCAU